AUACAAGAGCGGCCAGUGGGGUAACCUACAACACCCAUUCUGCCACUUAACCCAUCAUCCUCCACCUGGCCAAACAUCCCCCACAACACCAGCAUCCCCUAGAGGCACCACCUGCACCAGCUGGAAGAGUUGGUCUGUAGGAGGAAACCGUCCGGCAGCAGAACAGGGAAGACCUCCAGUCACACACCCCAGACAGCAAGGAAGAGCUUCCGGCCUAACGAGCAGCUCAUAACGGUGGAUUCUGCAUCAAGCAAGGGUGUCCUUUGAAAGCAUAAUAAAGACGUCCUCA